AGUGAACGCUGGCGGUAGGCCUAACACAUGCAAGUCGAACGGAAGCACAGUAAGCGCUUGCUCUUACGGGUGGCGAGUGGCGGACGGGUGAGGAGUACAUCGGAAUCUACUUUUUCGUGGGGGAUAACGUAGGGAAACUUCCGCUAAUAGCGCAUACGAUCUACGGGUGAAAGCAGGGGUUCUUCGGAGCUUGCGCGUCUGAAUUAGCCGAUGUCGGACUAGCUAGUUGGCGUGGUAAAGGCACACCAAGGCGACGAUACGUAGCUGAUCUGAGAGGAGGGUCGGCCACACUGGAACUGAGACACGGUCCAGACUCCUACGGGAGGCAGCAGUAGGGAAUAUUGGGCAAUGGGCGCAAGCCUGAUCCAGCCAUGCCGCGUGAGUGAAGAAGGUCUUCGGGUCGUAAAGCCCUGUUGUUGGGAAAGAACAUCUGUAGGAUAAACCGUCCCCGUUCUGACGGUACCCAAUCAAUAAGCACCGGCUAACUACGUG
rnacentral:rRNA from 1 species